ACUCCCUCGUCCUGUCCCCCUCCCAGACGUUGAUGAACAAGACAUUCUUCCUACCAACUCCCUCGUCCUGUCCCCCUCCCAGACGUUGAUGAACAGGACAUUCUUCCUACCAACUCCCUCGUCCUGUCCCCCUCCCAGACGUUGAUGAACAGGACAUUCUUCCUACCAACUCCCUCGUCCUGUCCCCCUCCCAGACGUUGAUGAACAAGACAUUCUUCCUACCAACUCCCUCGUCCUGCCCCCCUCCCAGACGUUGAUGAACAGGACAUUCUUCCUACCAACUCCCUCGUCCUGCCCCCUCCCAGACGUUGAUGAACAGGACAUUCUUCCUACCAACUCCCUCAUCCUGUAUCCCCUCCCAGACGUUGAUGAACAGGACAUUCUUCCUACCAACUCCCUCAUCCUGUAUCCCCUCCCAGACGUUGAUGAACAAGACAUUCUUCCUACCAACUCCCUCAUCCUGUAUCCCCUCCCAGAUGUUGAUGAACAGGGGUUACUGUCAAUCCAAGGGACAGGUUAUACUGAUGUUGAUUGGGUAACAUAUGUCCCUAGACACAGAUGAUGAACAGGGGUUACUGUCAAUCCAAGGGACAGGUUAUACUGAUGUUGAUUGGGUAACAUAUGUCCCUAGACACAGAUGAUGAACAGGGGUUACUGUCAAUCCAAGGGACAGGUUUUACUGAUGUUGAUUGGGUAACAUAUGUCCCUAGACACAGAUGAUGAACAGGGGUUACUGUCAAUCCAAGGGACAGGUUAUACUGAUGUUGAUUGGGUAACAUAUGUCCCUAGACAAAGAUGAUGAACAGGGGUUACUGUCAAUCCAAGGGACAGGUUAUACUGAUGUUGAUUGGGUAACAUAUGUCCCUAGAUAAAGAUGAUGAACAGGGGUUACUGUCAAUCCAAGGGACAGGUUAUACUGAUGUUGAUUGGGUAACAUAUGUCCCUAGAUAAAGAUGAUGAAGUUCACAUCACUUCACUUCCAUUUGUCUCUGUUAUUUCUUGUAUUGUCAACAUUCACGACUAAGGAAGUAGGCCUUUAUAUUUCACUGUUGGCCAGUUAAAGGUCCAAAGCAGCUGUUUUUAUCUCAAUAUCAAAUUAUUUCUGGGUAACAUUUAAGUGCCUUACAGUGAUUGUUUUUAAUUAAAUGGUUAAAAAAAUUUGGGGACAAAAUUUGCUAAUAGUUUGUUAGCAAAGAGACAUUUCUCAAGCAAGAAUUUAUCUGGAACUGUCUGGGUGUGGUCAGAGUGGGGAGGAGACAACGGAAAACUAGCUGUUAUUGGCAGAGAGGUUUUGGAACUCUCUGUCUUAUUGGUCUAUUAACUCAUGUAUCACCCGGUGAUGUCACCAGGCAGGCCAACACUCCUUCCCACCAAAACAGACUGAUAUUUCAGGAGGUCUUUUCAAACAGCUCACUACACUAAACGGACAUGAUCAUCAUUUACAACCUCAUAGUGUUGAAAUAUAUAUAUGUAAAAUACAGGAAACACACAUAUUUUAGUUGUUGACUGUACUACACCUUUAAAUCCUUACCAGGAAGCAUUUAUGUAAACACACUGUACCUAGUGAGAAACCUGAACCAUUACACCACAUAUCAGUAGGAUAUGA
ensembl:lncRNA